rnacentral:rRNA from 1 species
UACGGAGGGUGCAAACGUUGCUCGGAAUCAUUGGGCGUAAAGCGCACGUAGGCGGACCGCUAAGUCGGAUGUGAAAGCCCUCGGCUUAACCGAGGAAGUGCAUUCGAAACUGACGGUCUUGAGUGUGGAAGAGGGUCGCGGAAUUCCCGGUGUAGAGGUGAAAUUCGUAGAUAUCGGGAGGAACACCAGUGGCGAAGGCGGCGACCUGGGCCAAUACUGACGCUGAGGUGCGAAAGCGUGGGGAGCAAACAGG